rnacentral:rRNA from 1 species
AUGUUGGAUGGAGAAGUGCUCGCCUCCGCUGGGCUGACGCUGGUCGACGCGCCAAGCAGCAGCAGCGACGAGCCUGAGGAGGAGCAGCUGCUGCGGAAGCUGUUGUCGCUCUAUCGCGCCCGACAAGCCAAGCUGGUAUCCCGAGAAGCGCUUGUCGCGAAGGCGGGAGUGGAUAUCGAGAAGCACGCGAAAGAGCUCCGGGGUUUCAGGCAGGAAACUCUCCGGGCCCUGGCAGAGGAGCGGGAACAAGUCGACGAGGAGCGGAAAGCCUUCCUCCUCGAGAAGGCUGAAGUUGAAGAGAAACAGCGGCUUGUUGCCGAGAAGCUAUCUGCGCAGGAAGGCGAGUUGGCGCAGCGCAAGGUCAACCUUGACAGCCACGAGGAGGAGCUUGCCGCGCGCGAGCAAACAUUUGGCGAGGCUCUCAAGGAAGGAAAGGAUGCAGCCGCAGCUGCCGAGGCCGCCAAGAAGGAGCUGGAGACGAAGAUGGCGCAGCUGGAGGCCGAUCUCAGGGCGAGCGGCGAGGAGCUUGCUGCGCUCAAGCGUGAGCGCGAGAAGGACGCCGCCGCUCAUGGCAAGCUGCAAGGUCGUCUCGCUGAGAGGAGCAAAGAGCUUAGCGCCGCCAAGGACUCCAACGCAGAUCUUGAGUAG